rnacentral:rRNA from 1 species
UACGAGGGGGGCAAGCGUUGUCCGGAAUUAUUGGGCGUAAAGCGCGCGCAGGCGGCCUUUUAAGUCUGAUGUGAAAGCCCACGGCUCAACCGUGGAAGGUCAUUGGAAACUGAAAGGCUUGAGUACAGAAGAGGAAAGCGGAAUUCCACGUGUAGCGGUGAAAUGCGUAGAGAUGUGGAGGAACACCAGUGGCGAAGGCGGCUUUCUGGUCUGUAACUGACGCUGAGGCGCGAAAGCGUGGGGAGCAAACAGG